GCCGGCGCCGGCGACCCGGCGUCUCCGGCCUUCCUCCCCGCCGCAUGCCUAGCCCUUCCCCACUUCCCUGCCUACCCGCCUCCGCUUCCACCUAUGGCCCCUUCCCGUCCCCAAACCGCGGAUCCAGAUUUCCCCCCUCCCCCGGGCCGGCGCCGGCGCCAACAGCGGCUCAAAAAACGGGAUCUUUCGUCCCUCUCCAGCCGGUCGACCUGAUCUCCCGUUUCAGCUGGUUACCCCGAAGGCCAACGACGUCAGGCCGGUCCAGAUCUGGCGGCUCUACUCCGGCGACCUUCUGUAUGCAGUGCUGUGAUGAAUCACAAGGCCGGUAUCUGACUACAAGACUGGUUGGAUGCAUCACUUAAUGAUGCUGCACCAUCUUCUCUUCUCAUACUUUCAAGAGCUUUUACCCUGGCUGGGAGAAUGAAACCCGUGGAUGCUGUUGUAGCAACAGUGUCUUCUUUGCCAGAUGAAGUUGUGGAUACAAUUGGGACAGUAUUGCCAUCUGAAGAUUCGGUUUCUGAGAGGAGGAGAAAACUGAAAUUCCUUGAGAUGCAGGAAGAACUUAUCAAGGAGGAAGAGAAGAAGAAAGAGAAAGAGGAGAAGGCAAAACAAAAGAAGGAAGAAAAGGCAAAUCUCACAGAACAGGAGGCUGGUGAAGAAGAUUUGGCUUUAAAGGAAAUGACUGGGCCUAUUGCUAGGCAAGAAGAAGAAAUGAUAUUUGCAAAACAACAUGACCAGGAGCAGCUCUGUAAUAUCAGUCGAACAUUGGCUGUGCUGGCAUCUGCAUCGUCUGUUAGCACGGAGCGUCAAGAGUUCCUGAGCCUUGUCAACAAGGAGGUUGAUGCUACGCUUCAGGAAUUAGGAAAAGGAGAUUGAUGAUGUGGAUGCACAUAUCAGAAACCGCUGGCAACUGCUUGAUAGGCUGCCAAUGAAUUGGAAAGGCCAAGAUGAAGGAGCAAUCAUCAAGCCACCCGCUCAUCAGGUGGUGGAAUGCCUGCCUGGUGGCUUCCCAUUCAUUCCCAGGAGUCAGUCAUGUUCAACUUGUUACUGAGUUGAUCCUGCAAGCCAGUGAAGAUUCAGACGAUGUGGUUGCUCUGGAGGCUUGUGACUCUGGUUUGCGUUCUGUUAACAUGGCUGCCUAUGAAUUGGAAAGGCCAAGAGCAAGGAGCAAUCUGCAUCAAGCCACCCUCUCAUCAAGAGGUGGAAUGCCAGUCAUUCCCAGGAGUUUGUCAUGUUGAACCUGAAAGGGUCAGCGUACUGUACUGAAGGAUGAUGUUAGCAUGCCUCGUGAAGGAUUGCUUGAAGCUGUGGUUAGUUACACUUUUAACCUCAACCGUCGAAUUGAUGUCCCUCCCAAGUGUGGAACGCGGAUGGUGAAUCACUUUGCUGAUGCUGAGGUGUGGUGAAAGGAGGGACAAUGUGCACGGAUACGCAUGCACCCACCCACCAUUAUUGCCCCACGGCCUCUUCUUCUUCCUCAUUCACACCACUUGUUCUCCAACCAAGAACUCAUCUCCAUUGCAGCAACAGCCAAGAAUUCAACACAGGCUUGGUCUCUUGUGAUGGGGAGCAGCGAGCCGCGCUGGCUUGCAGCCCACGGCGGCAGCAAGGAGGAGGAGGAGGAGGAGGCGAGGCGCAAACUUGGUCGCCAAGAAAGCAGCAAGCCAGGGGCCACCGACGUGUGGGCCCAGCUUUUCGAACCCCCGGCCUCCUUCCCGCUCGCUCGCUCGCUUCCUCCCUCCCUACCACCGGCGAUGGGAGGGAGGGAGCGGGCUGACAGGUGGGCCCCCGCCCUACCGCCGGUAUAAAAUCCGGCGGCCCCCCUCCUUCUCUCCUCCCCCCGCCCUCAUUCCCUCACCCGCGAGCACCUCCUCCUCCUCGCUGGUUGGUUGGUUGGUUUCUCCCAAUCUUGUUC